GGAGCUCUCCCAUAUGGUCGACCUGCAGGCGGCCGCGAAUUCACUAGUGAUUGUUUGAUCCUGGCUCAGGAUGAACGCUAGCGACAGGCCUAACACAUGCAAGUCGAGGGGUAUAAGUAGCUUGCUACUUAGAGACCGGCGCACGGGUGAGUAACGCGUAUGCAACCUACCUUUUACUGGGGGAUAGCCCAAAGAAAUUUGGAUUAAUACCGCAUAACAUAUUUGAAUCGCAUGGUUUAAAUAUUAAAACUUCGGUGGUAAAAGAUGGGCAUGCGUAGCAUUAGUUAGUUGGUGAGGUAACGGCUCACCAAGACUAUGAUGCUUAGGGGGUCUGAGAGGAUAGUCCCCCACACUGGUACUGAGACACGGACCAGACUCCUACGGGAGGCAGCAGUGAGGAAUAUUGGUCAAUGGGCGCAAGCCUGAACCAGCCAUGUCGCGUGCAGGAUGACGGCCCUAUGGGUUGUAAACUGCUUUUUUACAGGAAUAAACUUUGUUACGUGUAGCAAACUGAAGGUACUGUAAGAAUAAGGAUCGGCUAACUCCGUGCCAGCAGCCGCGGUAAUACGGAGGAUCCAAGCGUUAUCCGGAUUUAUUGGGUUUAAAGGGUCCGUAGGCGGGCUUUUAAGUCAGUGGUGAAAUCCCAGAGCUCAACUCUGGAACUGCCAUUGAUACUGAAGGUCUUGAAUUUAGUUGAGGUGGGCGGAAUACGUUAUGUAGCGGUGAAAUGCAUAGAUAUAACGUAGAACACCGAUUGCGAAGGCAGCUCACUAAGCUAACAUUGACGCUGAUGGACGAAAGCGUGGGGGAGCGAACAGGAUUAGAUACCCUGGUAGUCCACGCCGUAAACGAUGAUUACUUCGUUGUGCACGAUACACUGUG
rnacentral:rRNA from 1 species